GGCGUGGCGGGCGUGUGGUGGCACCGCGCCCAGCACUUGGAGCUCUUGGUGGCGGCCGAGCUGCAGGACCAGAGAUUCCCCCCACUCGGCACCCCUGCUCCUGCCGAGUGAACAGUACUCCUGGCUACUCUGUACCGGCUUUCUAACUUUCUGAUGGGGGUUCAGUCCUUUGCAUUCCAGGGGUCACAGGAACACCCGCAUCGCCCGUUUUCAGCCGCACUGGGUCUCUGCCUGCAUCACUCGACUCUAAAAUUUCCUUCCCCAGCGCACGGAACUGCUAUCCAGGACUGUGCUCUCCGACUACCUCAGGGAGGAUUCUGUUUUGGGAAAAGUAAGCCAAAACCUAUUGAUAAGGGUUCAAAAAUGUUUCACUUUUUUCUCUCUCAGUCGGAUAAAUUGGUCAACUCUAGAUUUCAGGUCCCUUCUGAAUUGACUCAGUUAAGGUGAAUGGUUGUGAAUGAGGUCCCUUAGAGUUCUGUGUUUCUGUGCCUUUAAUACUAAGAUUUAGUCCAGGACAUGUAAACCAGUUUAGAAUGGAAAAGCUUUAAGUACAAACAGAUUAACACACGUGACCAUGUGUUUGCUUUAGUCUGAGUGUAGAACUCAAAUUUCUGCAGUAUUUAAUUUCUACAGUUUCCUUCUGAGCAGAAAAAGAAUACCAUAAAAAUAUUUGCAAACAUUUUAUAUGGUGAUCUAGGGUCACGUCUCCAAGUUCUAAGCUUCUGUGGCUCCACGCACACAGAUUCCCUAAUAUUUACUAUGCAUCUGUCACUGUUCUGUUCUAUUAGAUUGCCUUAACUAUAGGCUUGUCCUAACGUAACCAUCCAAACCUAAGGAAGGAGAAACUUAAGUGACUUUGUGAACUUAGUGAAGUGACCAGAUUUGGGAAGGCUAAAACCCAGAGGAAAUAAAAUGGAAAACUUGAAGGUGACAAAUUAAAGUGGAAAAAUAGAUUAAUUUUUUUAAACUUUAUUGUCCUGAGAAACAAAUCUAUAAAUUCAUUAAUUUUAUUUUAGAAACUAUCUCUAGAUUCCUGGAAAUGAAGGAUUCAUUAUACUCUUAGAUAUAAUACUGAUUUCUGUGUGUACGUUAAUAAACUUUUUUAGAACAA
rnacentral:lncRNA from 1 species